AUGGCCCGUCUUCCCUUAAGCGCGAGACGUUGAAGAAGAAAUGUAGCAUUUAUUAAUCCGAUGAGUGCCAUUAUGCUUGUAUACUAUUAUGUGUGGUUAAUCUUUGAAUUAGUUUAUAGAAGAAAGUGUUGGCAAAUAGAAAGGAGGCUUAGAAUUAGAGAGCUAAGAGGAGAGAAUUUGUAUAAACUAAUUGGUGAGAGCAAUGCAGCGUGUAUAAGUCAACUUCGUAUGGAUAGGAGAAGAUUUCAUAUAUUAUGUGAGAUGGUGAGAGAUGUUGGUGGCCUAAGGGGUACAAGGAAUACAUCAUUGGAUGAGAUAGUGACAUCAUUCCUUUAUGUAUUAGCUCACCAUUUCAAAAAUAUGACAAUAUGGAAAUUCUUUUACCGAAGCCCGGAGCCAGUUAGUAGGAACUUCAAUGCUUGUCUUCUAGCGGUUUUGAAGCUUCAUCCAUUGCUACUUAAGAAACCAGAACCUAUACCCGAGGACUGCACAGAUGGUAAAUGGAAAUAUUUCAAGGUAAAUAGCUACUAA
rnacentral:rRNA from 1 species